rnacentral:lncRNA from 1 species
CGAGUUAUAAAACUAAAGAUACAAAAAAAUAAAACUGAAAUCUAAUCUACAAACGGGAUUUUUCUGAAAACGUUAGACUGCGGACACGUGACACGUGGCUAUCACUGGUUUGCUCGAAGCGUUCGCAAAAGGGCUAAAAGGUGGACGAUCUCAAUUUAACUAAUACGAAAAUAACUUACAAAGAACGAACGUGAGGCGGGAGGGAAGAAGAUGACGAUGGUGUGGCAGCUCCGGGGAUCAACGACGUCGGGGAAGUUGUCCAACACAUGCGGGACGUCGAUGGUGACCGAUUUUUGCUGAAGGUGAAGGUUGAUGGUGACCGAAGCGAGGGGGCGUCGAGAUGAACUCCGUGAACUACGACGGCGUUACGACCUCGAGGAGGUCGUUGUAGAUGGAGAAGCGAGAUUAGACCUUGUCAAAAAGAAACUAGGGAUCAAAAGAAGUCGAACUACAAAAGAUGAAGGCCCGGGAUGGCUCACGGGCGUCCAAAUCCGACGAUGAAUCGUAGCUUCUGCCGCGAGAUCCAAACGACGAGGGCGAGAUGUAUUGGUGGUUUUGGCAUGCGAAUUUUAAGGGAAUGAGUUGAGGAGUCUCAAGUAUGUAUUGGACAUCUUACAGGAAGACUAGAGAUAGGAUUUCGAUGGAUAUGAAUCGGAGUAAGUUCAUG